rnacentral:rRNA from 1 species
UACGGAGGGGGCUAGCGUUGUUCGGAAUUACUGGGCGUAAAGCGUACGUAGGCGGCUUUGUAAGUUAGAGGUGAAAGCCCGGGGCUCAACUCCGGAAUUGCCUUUAAGACUGCAUCGCUUGAAUCAUGGAGAGGUGAGUGGAAUUCCGAGUGUAGAGGUGAAAUUCGUAGAUAUUCGGAAGAACACCAGUGGCGAAGGCGGCUCACUGGCCUGGUAUUGACGCUGAGGUGCGAAAGCGUGGGGAGCAAACAGG